rnacentral:rRNA from 1 species
UACGUAGGGUGCGAGCGUUAAUCGGAAUUACUGGGCGUAAAGCGUGCGCAGGCGGUUCGUUAAGUUCGUUGUGAAAGCCCCGGGCUCAACCUGGGAACUGCAAUGGAAACUAGCAGGCUUGAGUUCGGGAGAGGGAAGCGGAAUUCCGGGUGUAGCGGCGAAAUGCGCAGAUAUCCGGAGGAACACCGGUGGCGAAGGCGGCUUCCUGGACCGACACUGACGCUGAGGCGCGAAAGCUAGGGGAGCAAACGGG